AGAGUUUGAUCCUGGCUCAGGACGAACGCUGGCGGCGUGCUUAACACAUGCAAGUCGAGCGGAAAGGCCCUUCGGGGUACUCGAGCGGCGAACGGGUGAGUAACACGUGAGUAACCUGCCCCUAGCUCUGGGAUAGCUCCGGGAAACCGGGAUUAAUACCAGAUACGACCACUUUAGACAUCUUUUGUGGUGGAAAGGAUUCCGGCUAGGGAUGGGCUCGCGGCCUAUCAGCUUGUUGGUGGGGUAACGGCCUACCAAGGCGACGACGGGUAGCCGGCCUGAGAGGGCGACCGGCCACACUGGGACUGAGACACGGCCCAGACUCCUACGGGAGGCAGCAGUGGGGAAUAUUGCGCAAUGGGCGAAAGCCUGACGCAGCGACGCCGCGUGGGGGAUGAAGGCCUUCGGGUUGUAAA
rnacentral:rRNA from 1 species